rnacentral:lncRNA from 1 species
GAUAUUUGUAGCUGUUUCUUUGAUGCCGCUUUGUAUAAAUUCGACUUUGUAGCAGACCAGCUCUACAUUCUCGCAAUGGCAUGCACAAGAGAGCACACUACAGACGGGGAGAGAGCAACUUCAUGCACGUUUAAAAUAGUAAUGAUUCUUCUGGCCUGGAACCUAAUUCCCACUGCCUUGGUAAUCACAGCCUUUGUGGAGCUACGAAGCAAUUUAAAAGGGGAACUAGAACGCGGUAUCAAAGUGAAUGAGUCACGGCCUGCACUGGUGCACUUAACCGGGCAUCACAGCGACCGGGGAAAAUUGAAUGAUGAAGUGCUGGAUAUUUGGAAAACGGCAAGUUCUAAAAUGACUUCGCUUGGUGCCAACCUGAGUUCAAUCAUAAUAAAGGAAAGCGGCAACUACUUUGUCUAUGCUCAGCUAUACUUUCAAGUUCCAUUCAACUCAAAGCUGGACAAGUUCGACCAGAGCUACUUGGCAUUUUUCGUUUGUCGAAUAUCCAAAGCCACAACGAGUAUCUUGAUGCGAGCCGUGGCAUCAAACGGCUUCCAAGGGAAGAAGAAUGGUCUGUAUACCUCAUAUUCCGGUAGUGUUCACCAACUUAAAGAGGGAGAUGUACUGUUUGUUAGUGUAGUUAAAAAACAACGCGUCGUGGUAAACGCAAACGAAAGCAGCUCCUUUUUUGGAGCUUUUAAACUUUAAUUUUAUAUUUAUUUUAGUAUUGACAUAUCACAAAUCUUUUAGAAGCAAGGCAACAACAUCCUAGUCCAGAAUGAAUGCAAUCGACAGCGUAUUGCAAUAUUGAUAACAUAGUAAACACCGUCUGUGUAGAAAACUUCGACGACACUAAAGAUUGUUUCGACCAGGCAGAAAGCGAGCUAGAGCCAAGUCGGAAGCGUGUUCGGAUGGAAAGACACACCCCGUCUUCUGAAAGAAAAAGAUGAGGAACAGGAGACUGUUUUUCUCUGUGCGCGCUCGAAAGUGUCUAAAUAAAAUAGACAAAAUCCAUACCGUUUCAAUCUCCCGCCAAAAUUACAUCGCCGCGCGCCUCCACAAGCGCUCUCAUUAAAUCUAAAGAAAUAACGCCACAAGAAAAAAAGCGUCGCAUUAAAACAAAAGGUGGCCAAUUCAUGAAAUCCCGGAAUGUUGUUGCGUAUGCCUAUCAGGAAAACAUCAACGAAGUUAUCGGCAAUUUGGCAUCAAUUUGUUGUGGUUGGGGCAACGGAUGUGAUCUUCUCAAGACUGGAGGCCAAAGAAGCAUUCAACACGACUCUUUCGAAACAAAGCCAGUCAAUUCUCCUAAAAUCCAUUCGAAUGCCAGAUUGGGCCUAUCUUCUUUUGAGAAUCAGAACAAAAAUUUCAGAUGCUUUCAGAUGGAAGACCCUAUACUUAACCUUACCCAACUUGGAUCACCUAGGAAAACCACAGACUUCGCCAUUCUUCCAACAAAGAACCAAAUUUGUGCAAUGAAAGUGGUGCUGUUUGGCGCUACUUACGACACUGUUGGAACUAGUGAAUUACCUGAUGGGCUCCUAGAUGCACAAGUAAACCUAGUUUCUGUGUUGGUAUGGGGUAUUCGGGAAAUGCGAUUGCAUCAAGUAGAUGGCAGUGGCAACGACCGAACGCUACAUUUCAAUUUCAAACUGGAUGUAGACCUUUUUGGGGUAAAGAACUGAUAUCGUUCGGUGUGGUAUGCAUGCAGAUGAAGCUGGAGUCACAUCUCGCAAAAGACAAAUGUCCAUUUUUGCAUUUUGAUUCUGAAAUGAAUAUUCAAGAAGAGCUCCUUUCUUUUUUACAGCGCAAAUGGGCUUCGAGUGAAGAAGUAUUGAUUACACAAGUUAAUCUUAGAUGCCUUACAAACAAGUGUCUAUUGUGAAUGUGGAGCGAAAGGUGAAUGAGUCACGGCCUGCACUGGUGCACUUAACCGGGCAUCACAGCGACCGGGGAAAAUUGAAUGAUGAAGUGCUGGAUAUUUAGAAAACGGCAAGUUCUAAAAUGACUUCGCUUGGUGCCAACCUGAGUUCAAUCAUAAUAAAGGAAAGCGGCAACUACUUUGUCUAUGCUCAGCUAUACUUUCAAGUUCCAUUCAACUCAAAGCUGGACAAGUUCGACCAGAGCUACUUGGCAUUUUUCGUUUGUCGAAUAUCCAAAGCCACAACGAGUAUCUUGAUGCGAGCCGUGGCAUCAAACGGCUUCCAAGGGAAGAAGAAUGGUCUGUAUACCUCAUAUUCCGGUAGUGUUCACCAACUUAAAGAGGGAGAUGUACUGUUUGUUAGUGUAGUUAAAAAACAACGCGUCGUGGUAAACACAAACGAAAGCAGCUCCUUUUUUGGAGCUUUUAAACUUGAAUUUUAUAUUUAUUUUAGUAUUGACAUAUCACAAAUCUUUUAGAAGCAAACAUGUUUCGGCAAACUGUCAUCUUCAGUACGAUGUGUAAGUGCGAUGUGUGCAAUUUAGAUAUAAAUGCAAGGUCUUUGCUGGCACGUGUUAUACACAUAUGAUACAAACAUGAAAUGUCGAAGCCAUGAAAGCGGAA